rnacentral:rRNA from 1 species
GACAGAGGGUGCAAACGUUGCUCGGAAUUACUGGGCGUAAAGCGCGUGUAGGCGGGAAGAUAAGUCGGGUGUGAAAGCCCCGGGCUCAACCUGGGAAUGGCAAUGGAAACUGGCGGGCUGGAGUAUGGCAGAGGGGGUGGAAUUCCGCGUGUAGCAGUGAAAUGCGUAGAGAUGCGGAGGAACACCGAUGGCGAAGGCAGCCCCCUGGGCCAAUACUGACGCUCAGGCACGAAAGCGUGGGGAGCAAACAGG